GACGUAGGGUCCGAGCGUUGUCCGGAAUUACUGGGCGUAAAGAGCUCGUAGGUGGUUUGUCGCGUUGUUCGUGAAAACUCACAGCUCAACUGUGGGCGUGCGGGCGAUACGGGCAGACUAGAGUACUGCAGGGGGAGACUGGAAUUCCUGGUGUAGCGGUGGAAUGCGCAGAUAUCAGGAGGAACACCGGUGGCGAAGGCGGGUCUCUGGGCAGUAACUGACGCUGAGGAGCGAAAGCGUGGGGAGCGAACAGG
rnacentral:rRNA from 1 species